UUAAGUCUUGACGAGUAAGAGGGUCGCGGCGGUGAGCGCAGAAGGGUCAGGGCGAGAGCCUGCCUGGAGCCGCCGUCGGUGCAGAUCUUGGUGGUAGUAGCAAAUACUCUAGCGAGGGCCUGGAGGACUGACGUGGAGAAGGGUUUCUUGUGAACAGCCGUUGCACAAGAGUCAGUCGACCCUGAGCCCUAGGAGAAAUCCAAUGUCGAUGGGUAGCUUGACAAAUAAAAGUGCAUACACACUAAAAAUGUGUUUUGCGUCUUAAAAAUUGAACAGCUCCUGUCGGGCAAAAGGGAAUCCGGUUCCUAUUCCGGAACCCGGCUGCGUAACCGCCACUUUGCGGGCACUUGCUUGCGAGCGCUCGUCGGGGUAACCCAAACUGGCCUGGAGACGCCGGCGGGGGGUCUGGAAAGAGUUUUCUUUUCUUUAUAAGCGUUCGAGUACCCUGGAAUCCUAUAGCAGGGAGAUAGGGUUUGGAACGCGAAGAGCACCGCAGUUGCGGCGGUGUCCGGACCUUCCCCCCGGACCUUGAAAAUCCAGGUGAGGGCCACGCGGAAGUCGCGCCGG
rnacentral:rRNA from 1 species